AAUGUUUUUGUCACAAGGUGACGAUCUUUUGGGCGGAACCAAAAGUCGGGAAACUUUGGUUCCGCCCGGAUGUUUCCGCCCAGACCGAAGAACGGAAACACCGGACAUCCGGCAGAUUCGCGGAGGCUGUAAUCGGCCGAUUGGGCACAGCUGUGCCUAGUUGAAGAGAUCGCCGGGCAAUUGGAUGACUGAAGUACAGAGAGGAGUAUUUAAAGCACAGUUAAAUGACAGUUCGGGAGUUCGGGCACGAGAGGGGGAUUGACACGGGGAGAGCUCCUCUGCUUAGGGCAGGAGAGGUAAAUACGUACCUUUUGAAGAGCCCGCAGGCUCUGUUGAUCCGGGCUGCGCUAGAAGCGCGCGGAAAGAAGACAGGAGCUGCCUGGGGUGAAAGAAAGGCGAUACGUGAGUGGAGAAAAGGAGCACCCCGAAGAGAGCAUUGUGCUGUCAAGCCUGUGCUUAGUGUGUGCUGGGAAACGGAGCUGUGCUCAUUGUUGGACGUGGUGGUUGUUUGUGUUUCUCUCUCUCUCUCUCUCUCGUCGUAGUCUUUAUUGUGGACCUGCUGGAGUAAACAGGAAAACCCUAUGGGUAAGAAGGAACUUUGUGCUAACCAAUACUGAAGGAGUAAAGCAGGAAGAAAAUUGACCUUCUGGUACAACGUAAACAAAGGCUACCCGCCGUGAGUAUACCCUUUUUGUGUGGAGUAACUGGCAAAAAUUAACUUGUGUAACCAUUGGAAACCCCCAGGAGAAGGAGGGCGGCCCUACCCCUACAAGAGUGUGGUGGGCGAGCCGUGAGAAGUCCAACUUCAAACAGCCACCGCAACGAGACUUAUUGUGGUCGUAUUUCCCAUCGCCUUAUCAUAGCCCAAGCGCAGUGGAGGACACCGGGCGCUUCCCCUGUUGUGGUGCACUUAUAGUGUGGUGAGUGAGAUUGUGUAAUAAAUCUUUUUCACGUUUGGAGUGGUGCUGUGUAUUGCUGUGGGUUGCUGUGUGUCUUGUAGACGAAGCCCCGCAUCAUCCAUUUUCUUCCACUGGGCAGAGGACGGAGAGGCCAACGACUGCAGAAAUCACUGUUACUAUAAGUAGUGUGCUGUUCGGAGUACGAAGGGACGCAGACAAAGAGCUGUCCGUGACCGUGAGUAAACCAUUGGAAGUAUUCGUGGUGUAAACUUACCUGUGUCUGUUUUGUCGCAGAGUCAGAGGCGAAAGGGUCCGCCGCCCCCGCGGUCUCUACAAAGGGGCGCCCCUGUCCAGGAUUCGAUCGGCCUAUGGGCAUUGGAGAUAGGGCAGCGCUCGACCCGGUGAGGUGGUGUGUGACCUUCGCCCCUCUGCUGACUUACGGAGGAGAACCAUACCUACCCAGAAAGCUGUAAACAGCAGAGCCGCGGCCACCUGUGGAGAGAGAGCAGAACGAAAGUGAAUCAUUGAAGAGCAGACUGUGAACGUGAUACCUACCCAGAAAGCUGUAAACAGCAGAGCCGCGGCCACCUGUGGAGAGAGAGCAGAACGAAAGUGAAUCAUUGAGGAGCAGACUGUGAACGUGAUACCUACCCAGAAAGCUGUAAACAGCAGAGCCGUGGCCUCCUGUGGAGAGAAUGGAAAACGAGAAGGAACAGGAGGAAAAUGGACUGUGUGAAGAUACAGUGGUGGUGGAGGAGAGCCUAGAGUGGCCAUUGUUUUAAGCCCCCCCGUUUUCCCUUCCCUAUUUAAUAAUUUUAACUAAUUUAAUAAAGGAUAUUUUAAUAUUAUGCUUACCUUGUG